UCAGGAUGAACGCUAGCGACAGGCUUAACACAUGCAAGUCGAGGGGCAUCACGGGAGUAGCAAUACAACUGGUGGCGACCGGCGCACGGGUGAGUAACGCGUAUGCAACCUACCUAUCAGAGGGGAAUAACCCGGCGAAAGUCGGACUAAUACCGCAUAAAACAGGGGCACCGCAUGGUGAUAUUUGUUAAAGAAAUUCGCUGAUAGAUGGGCAUGCGUUCCAUUAGGUAGUUGGUGAGGUAACGGCUCACCAAGCCGACGAUGGAUAGGGGAACUGAGAGGUUGGUCCCCCACACUGGUACUGAGACACGGACCAGACUCCUACGGGAGGCAGCAGUGAGGAAUAUUGGUCAAUGGGCGGGAGCCUGAACCAGCCAAGUCGCGUGGAAAAGGAAGAAGGAUCUAUGGUUCGUAAACUUCUUUUGCAGGGGAAUAAAGUGCAGGACGUGUCCUGUUUUGUAUGUACCCUGAGAAUAAGGAUCGGCUAACUCCGUGCCAGCAGCGGC
rnacentral:rRNA from 1 species